AAUAGCUGCCGAAGACAGCAGGUGCCGUUAGGCAUAAGGAUUAAAACGCCUGCCGAGGAAAGAUUCAUUCUUAAAAUAAUUAAGAUUGAUAAAACCUCUCUGUCUUAUGCGGAGAGGUUUUUUU
rnacentral:sRNA from 1 species